rnacentral:rRNA from 1 species
GACGAACGCUGGCGGCGUGCUUAACACAUGCAAGUCGAACGGAAAGGCCCUGCUUUUGUGGGGUGCUCGAGUGGCGAACGGGUGAGUAACACGUGAGUAACCUGCCCUUGACUUUGGGAUAACUUCAGGAAACUGGGGCUAAUACCGGAUAGGAGCUCCUGCUGCAUGGUGGGGGUUGGAAAGUUUCGGCGGUUGGGGAUGGACUCGCGGCUUAUCAGCUUGUUGGUGGGGUAGUGGCUUACCAAGGCUUUGACGGGUAGCCGGCCUGAGAGGGUGACCGGCCACAUUGGGACUGAGAUACGGCCCAGACUCCUACGAGAGGCAGCAGUGGGGAAUAUUGCACAAUGGGCGGAAGCCUGAUGCAGCAACGCCGCGUGCGGGAUGACGGCCUUCGGGUUGUAAACCGCUUUCGCCUGUGACGAAGCGUGAGUGAUGGUAAUGGGUAAAGAAGCACCGGCUAACUACGUG